rnacentral:rRNA from 1 species
CAGCAGCCGCGGUAAUACCGGCGGCCCGAGUGGCGGCCACUAUUAUUGGGCCUAAAGCGUCCGUAGCCGGGCUGGUAAGUCCUCCGGGAAAUCUGGUCGCUUAACGAUCAGACUUCCGGAGGAUACUGCUGGCCUAGGGACCGGGAGAGGCCGAGGGUAUUCCCGGGGUAGGGGUGAAAUCCUGUAAUCCCGGGAGGACCACCUGUGGCGAAGGCGCUCGGCUGGAACGGGUCCGACGGUGAGGGACGAAGGCCAGGGGAGCGAACCGGAUUAGAUACCCGGGUAGUCCUGGCUGUAAACGAUGCGGACUAGGUGUCGGGCAAGCUAAGGGCUUGUCCGGUGCCGCAGGGAAGCCGUUAAGUCCGCCGCCUGGGGAGUACGGCCGCAAGGUUGAAACUUAAAGGAAUUGGCGGG